CUGGAACGCGCCCCAGGCGCACCCAGAAACCCUUUGUGAACUCAUACCUUACUGUUGCCUCGGCGCAUGCCGGCCCCCAGGGGCCCCUCGGAGACGAGGAGCAGGCACGCCGGCGGCCAAGUUAACUCUUGUUUUUACACUGAAACUCUGAAGGAAAAAAAACAAAUGAAUCA
rnacentral:misc_RNA from 1 species